rnacentral:rRNA from 1 species
CCUACGGGUGACUGCAGUGGGGAAUAUUGGGCAAUGGGUGCAAGCCUGACCCAGCAACGCCGCGUGAAGGAAGAAGGCUCUCGGGUUGUAAACUUCCUUUCUGAGGGACGAAGAAAGUGACGGUACCCCAGGAAUAAGCCACGGCUAACUACGUGCCAGCAGCCGCGGUAAUACGUAGGUGGCAAGCGUUAUCCGGAUUUAUUGGGUGUAAAGGGCGGGUAGGCGGGAAAGCAAGUCAGAUGUGAAAGCUCAGGGCUCAACCCUGGGCCUGCAUUUGAAACUGUUUUUCUUGAGUACUGGAGAGGCAAUCGGAAUUCCGUGUGUAGCGGUGAAAUGCGUAGAUAUACGGAGGAACACCAGUGGCGAAGGCGGAUUGCUGGACAGUAACUGACGCUGAGGCGCGAAAGCGUGGGGAGCAAACAGGAUUAGAUACCCUAGUAGUC